rnacentral:rRNA from 1 species
AGACGUCUACAUUAGAUACCCCGGUAGUCCCAGCCGUAAACUAUGCGCGUUAGGUGUAUCGGUGACCACGAGUUACCGAGGUGCCGAAGGGAAACCGUGAAACGUGCCGCCUGGGAAGUACGGUCGCAAGGCUGAAACUUAAAGGAAUUGGCGGGGGAGUACCACAACGGGUGGAGCCUGCGGUUUAAUUGGACUCAACGCCGGACAACUCACCGGGGACGACAGCAAUAUGUAGGCCAGGCUGAAGACCUUGCCUGAAUCGCUG